GAUGAACGCUGGCGGCGUGCCUAAUACAUGCAAGUCGAGCGAACGGACGAGAAGCUUGCUUCUCUGAUGUUAGCGGCGGACGGGUGAGUAACACGUGGAUAACCUACCUAUAAGACUGGGAUAACUUCGGGAAACCGGAGCUAAUACCGGAUAAUAUUUUGAACCGCAUGGUUCAAAAGUGAAAGACGGUUUUGCUGUCACUUAUAGAUGGAUCCGCGCUGCAUUAGCUAGUUGGUAAGGUAACGGCUUACCAAGGCAACGAUGCAUAGCCGACCUGAGAGGGUGAUCGGCCACACUGGAACUGAGACACGGUCCAGACUCCUACGGGAGGCAGCAGUAGGGAAUCUUCCGCAAUGGGCGAAAGCCUGACGGAGCAACGCCGCGUGAGUGAUGAAGGUCUUCGGAUCGUAAAACUCUGUUAUUAGGGAAGAACAUAUGUGUAAGUAACUGUGCACAUCUUGACGGUACCAAAUCAGAAAGCCACGGCUAACUACGUG
rnacentral:rRNA from 1 species